UGGGCUAUGGUGUAAUGGUAGCACAAGAGGUUUUGGUUCUCUUAGUCUUGGUUCGAACCCAGGUAGUCCAA
rnacentral:tRNA from 1 species